rnacentral:piRNA from 1 species
UAAGACCUUGGUUCAAAUGUUGCUGUUUCA